CCUACGGGAGGCAGCAGUGGGGAAUAUUGGACAAUGGGGAGAACCCUGAUCCAGCCAUGCCACGUGUGUGAAGAAGGCCCUCGGGUUGUAAAGCACUUUCAGUGAGGAAGAACGCCUGGUGGUUAAUACCCAUCAGGAAAGACAUCACUCACAGAAGAAGCACCGGCUAACUCCGUGCCAGCAGCCGCGGUAAUACGGAGGGGGCGAGCGUUAAUCGGAAUUACUGGGCGUAAAGCGCGCGUAGGUGGCUUGAUAAGCCGGUUGUGAAAGCCCCGGGCUCAACCUGGGAACGGCAUCCGGAACUGUCAAGCUAGAGUGCAGGAGAGGAAGGUAGAAUUCCCGGUGUAGCGGUGAAAUGCGUAGAGAUCGGGAGGAAUACCAGUGGCGAAGGCGGCCUUCUGGACUGACACUGACACUGAGGUGCGAAAGCGUGGGUAGCAAACAGGAUUAGAUACCCGAGUAGUC
rnacentral:rRNA from 1 species